rnacentral:rRNA from 1 species
AUUGAACGCUGGCGGCAGGCCUAACACAUGCAAGUCGAGCGGAUGAGUGGAGCUUGCUCCAUGAUUCAGCGGCGGACGGGUGAGUAAUGCCUAGGAAUCUGCCUGGUAGUGGGGGACAACGUUUCGAAAGGAACGCUAAUACCGCAUACGUCCUACGGGAGAAAGUGGGGGAUCUUCGGACCUCACGCUAUCAGAUGAGCCUAGGUCGGAUUAGCUAGUUGGUGAGGUAAAGGCUCACCAAGGCGACGAUCCGUAACUGGUCUGAGAGGAUGAUAAGUCACACUGGAACUGGGACACGGUCCAGACUCCUACGGGAGGCAGCAGUGGGGAAUAUUGGACAAUGGGCGAAAGCCUGGUCCAGCCAUGCCGCGUGUGUGAAGAAGGUCUUCGGAUUGUAAAGCACUUUAAGUUGGGAGGAAGGGCAGUAAGUUAAUACCUUGCUGUUUUGACGUUACCAACAGAAUAAGCACCGGCUAACUUCGUGCCAGCCGCCGCAGUAACAC